AGAUGAAGGCUCGGCUCGGGCUGGUCGCUGGACCCAGUUGCAGAACCUGCAGGCCAGGUGGACGAACAGAGCUCUUGGCUCUAAGGUAGCUCCGUCUGCUUCUCCGAGUGAGCGAGGCUGCCUGGGGGGUCCCGCGGUCUCCCGGCCGUCGCCUUCCCACUGCUGGAGACAGCGCAACGGCGGGCGCACCCUGCAUUCAGGUGGCAGUAUCGAAGCCAAAAGCUUCCAGAAGUGGUUUCUAAAAAAGAAGACUUGAAUGUACAUGAGUAAGCAAACACAGGAAUCCAGAAAAUCCACAGGUACUUGCUGCCUCUGAAAUGGAGGAGACACUCUGUGGGAAGUGUGCACUUUGCCUGACACAUUGUGAUAGACAGACAGAGCUAGCAAAUGUUUUUUACCUCAAAUGUACACAGUGCUGUGGAUUUUCUAAUCACAAAAGACAGGUUGAAUUUGAUGAUUAUAUUCAUAAAACUCAUUUUUUGCUGUGUUUUUGGAGAUGAUCUAUCGUCAUACUGCUAAGCAAGCCCUCAGUCACUGAACUACACCUUCAGUAUAAACCUUUCUACAAACUAUGUAUUUAUUUGGGAACUGAUCUAAAAUCUCUGGCACCAAGUUCCAAGGACUGCUAUCAAAAUCCUAAAUGCUGGGAUGAUGAAGACAGGCACAUCCCUGCAACUGAAUGGCCACACAGCCUAGCUGACUCCAGGUUCAGGGAGAGACCCUGUUUAAAAAUACAGUGGAAAAGAACUGAGUAGGAUACUUGGAGUUGAGCUUUGUUCCACAUGCACACACACAGACAUGUAUACAUACUUACACAAAAAAGAAAAUAUCGGGAAUUUGUAAAUAAUAAGAAAAUGACAAGUCUAAAAUCAAGGCUAUAGAAAUGUGUACAACAUUGCUGUGACGGGAGCAACAGCAUAGAGCAUGCCAAGAUCUAGCAAGCAAUUUGAAGUCUCAAGAGGAAGGCUUAGCCUAGAAGAAGGACCAUGGAGAUGAUGCUCUGUACAAAUCCAAUCCAGCAGAUUCACUCUCUGGCAAUGAACAGGAAUGAAACGCAGAUAAGUCGUUAGAAAACUUUUCGAGGCAAAGCUCCUCGUGUGAUCAGAACAAAGCCGUUUUAUAAUCAGAUUUACCAAGCUGAGAGCGAGUUUCGGGCAAACGGAAGCUGCAGUGUUCUGUCACCAGGAAACACUGCAUUUUCCAGAAUCGGAGCCUGGUUUACUUCUGUUCUUUCUACAUCAUUGCCCCAAAACUUUUAUGAAGGACUUUCCAGUCUCAAUAGAAUUUGAACAUUUUAUGUGUUUCAACAUCUCACUCCGUCAUUAGUUCCCUGAAAGCUCGCCCUAGAAUUUACUGGACUGUCCACUAUUGCCGAUCAUCCCUUCUGAAAGCAGAAGAACAACUGUGUGUUGGAAUGAGAAGGAGCUUAGUUGAGGAGCUCAAGCAUGACUUUCCAUGGUGAAAGGAAGAAGAGAAUGGAACUUGCUUCGAAGAAAAACAAGUUUAAUAAUAUGGGUUAUUUGCCUACUCUUUUGGUAAAUAAAUUUACAGUUAUGAAUAUUUUUAGAAAGUAGAAAGUGAAGCUAAAAUUCUCACUAGAGGAAUAGUUUUAAAGGGGUAUUAAUUAAUUGUUAUAUAAACUGGAGAUUUUUAGUAAGAAAUUAUGUAUUUUACAUUAAUAUGCUUAAAAAUGGAAAAGGAGUAAAAGUGAUUUAAAGAUAAAUGUCUAUGUAAUCAACUAAUUGCCAAUGAUGGUAAUAUAAUGUGUUUUUGUCAUCUUGUGCUGAAUUCAAUAAAAAUGAAGCUAAUGACUUAGAA